GCCUGGGCCCAUCCCCUGCAUAGGUGCCAACUGAAGCUGUUGGAGACCAAAGAGAUCAGGUGACCUCCUGGCCUGGGAAAGAGACAAAGGGAGAGGAGGUGGCUGGAGAGUUUCAGUUUGAAGCUGACGGGGGAAAUGGAGGGGGGGCCAGAGGUGCUCUAGCCUCCCUGCCUCCCCAAGAUGGACCUGA